CGAAGCAUUCAAGCAUCCCAAAGUCUAAAUUAAUACAUAGGAUUAUGAUGAUUAUAUCUACCAUUAUAGAAUUCAACACAAUCUAGAACUUGGCCUCUAGAUUCAGUCAAAUUUGUUGAGCAAUCAUGGAAUAUAGUUGAAGUUUUACUAUUUUAAACGCAAAUAUACAACAAACUGUUCAAAGCAAAAAGGCUACUUGUGGAAACCAGACUACUAGUAUUAAUCGAAGCUCGAAAACACACUGGAAGCGGCUGUAAAUUUAAAAAAUAGAGCGUAGAUUACGGUAUAUAGGGAAUAAAAGAUACUAACCUUUCUUAUAUAGCGUUGAAAUUUUCAUUUAAUCGCCGUUUCAUCUUGAAAAUUAACUCGUUUCGGCACAGAUAUAA